UACGUAGGGUGCGAGCGUUAAUCGGAAUUACUGGGCGUAAAGCGUGCGCAGGCGGUUAUAUAAGACAGAUGUGAAAUCCCCGGGCUCAACCUGGGCACUGCAUUUGUGACUGUAUAGCUAGAGUACGGUAGAGGGGGAUGGAAUUCCGCGUGUAGCAGUGAAAUGCGUAGAUAUGCGGAGGAACACCGAUGGCGAAGGCAAUCCCCUGGGUUAGUACUGACGCUCAUGCACGAAAGCGUGGGGAGCAAACAGG
rnacentral:rRNA from 1 species